CCUACGGGUGGCUGCAGUGGGGAAUAUUGGACAAUGGGCGAAAGCCUGAUCCAGCCAUGCCGCGUGUGUGAAGAAGGCCUUCGGGUUGUAAAGCACUUUCAGUGGGGAAGAAAGCCUUGGGGCUAAUACCCUCGAGGAAGGACAUCACCCACAGAAGAAGCACCGGCUAACUCCGUGCACAGCAGCCGCGGUAAUACGGAGGGUGCGAGCGUUAAUCGGAAUUACUGGGCGUAAAGCGCGCGUAGGCGGUCUGAUAAGCCGGUUGUGAAAGCCCCGGGCUCAACCUGGGAACGGCAUCCGGAACUGUCAGGCUAGAGUGCAGGAGAGGAGGGUAGAAUUCCCGGUGUAGCGGUGAAAUGCGUAGAGAUCGGGAGGAAUACCAGUGGCGAAGGCGGCCUUCUGGACUGACACUGACGCUGAGGUGCGAAAGCGUGGGUAGCAAACAGGAUUAGAUACCCGAGUAGUC
rnacentral:rRNA from 1 species